CCUACGGGGGGCAGCAGUGAGGAAUAUUGGUCAAUGGACGAGAGUCUGAACCAGCCAAGUAGCGUGAAGGAUGACUGCCCUAUGGGUUGUAAACUUCUUUUAUAUGGGAAUAAAAUGUUCCACGUGUGGGAUUUUGUAUGUACCAUAUGAAUAAGGAUCGGCUAACUCCGUGCCAGCAGCCGCGGUAAUACGGAGGAUCCGAGCGUUAUCCGGAUUUAUUGGGUUUAAAGGGAGCGUAGGUGGAUUGUUAAGUCAGUUGUGAAAGUUUGCGGCUCAACCGUAAAAUUGCAGUGGAAACUGGCAGUCUUGAGUACAGUAGAGGUGGGCGGAAUUCGUGGUGUAGCGGUGAAAUGCUUAGAUAUCACGAAGAACUCCGAUUGCGAAGGCAGUUCACUGGACUGCAACUGACACUGAGGCUCGAAAGUGUGGGUAUCAAACAGGAUUAGAUACCCGGGUAGUC
rnacentral:rRNA from 1 species